GGUAUUUUAAUAUAUAAGUCCAACAAUACAGCAUAGGUUUUCUACAUUGUAAAAUAAAAAAAAAUGCUGCGUUGGGUAAAGAAAUAAAUAUGUAAAUUUACAGUAAAAGUUCUGUUAGCUCUUUGCACAGUGCCCGCCCUGUGAUUUUAAAACAAAACUAAAAUUAAUUGUCAGAAUGUCCUUGUUUUGUUUUAUGUUUUUUGUGUGUUUACUGUGAACUCACUGUAAAAAUCAUAGAUUUCUAUAGUAGAUAUUAAAAAAAAAAAAAGUAUGUCAUUUAAUGUCUUAUCUGUUAUAUAUCUUUGGUGUAGUAUGAAUGAUCAUGGAUCUUUAUCAAUAGGAAAAGUUGUAAAACCUAUGAAGACACACUUAAGUCUAAAAUGUAUGCCCUUCUUCACAUUUUUUCAAAGCUGCCCAAAUUGCUUCGCCAGAUUGGAGUCUUUAGCGGGCCAAUUCUGGCCCCCGGGCCUUAUGCUUGACACACUUGCAUUAGACAAAUUAAGACUGAUUUUGGUCAUGUGCAAUGGAAAAAAUCAGUCCCUGUUUUUUUGUGGGUAGAUGAUACUUGCUGGGCUGGAUGUCAGUCUCUUUACCUACUACGUGCAGUUAAAUGUUACUGUCACAGUUUUAAAUGUGUAGCAUAUACAGUAUAUUCUGAGCUGAUAAUAAACCGAUGAUGUCAGGUGAAAUUGGUGACAGACUAAUUGUAAAAGCCGUGUGUAUGUGCUUUGAUAUCAACUGUAUAAAUAAGAAAAAGAAACUGAUUGUCAGGCAACUGAUUUGGGUCCAGUGGGUCAGAAAUUUGGAGCAGAAGAGCUGAGAUGAGUUUUCUCAGGUUUAGCUAAACCUGCAUUCUGGAACAGGGACUUUUAGACAUCAGAUUAACAGCCCGUCCUCUGUGUUUGUAGAUGAUGUUGUCACGGCUCUGAUGUCCAUGCGUUUCCCUCUUUCUCUCCUUUUCAGACACGUGAUGACUUCCUGGGACAGGUGGAUAUCCCCUUAAAUCAAAUACCGACAGAAAAUCCUAACAAUGAAAGGCCAUACACAUUCAAGGAUUUUCUGCUUCACCCACGAAGUCACAAGUCCAGAGUUAAAGGUCAUCUGCGUCUAAAAAUGACCUACCUGCCAAAAAACCCAGGUUCAGAGGAGGAAACUGCAGAUCAGACUGAGGACAACGAUGUAAGUUUAUGCUUAGUGUUACGAAUGCUUUUGUGUUAGCAGUGCUUCCAUUUGUUCAACAUGAGUGUCAGGUCAGUUAGUAGUUGGUGCUGAAUUUAAGUCCUUGCACUCGCUUUUAUUUUUUAUUUUUUUUUAUUUUCAACAUUAUGUUUAUUAAAGUUUUACAUAUAUACAUAUAUAAAGUACAUACACAAACAAAUUUACACAAUAAACGAAACACAAGGUACAUUCAAUGAAAGCACUUGAGUCCAUGAGACCUCUGACAGAUUUUAAAGAAUAAUUUUCAGAUUGCAGCAUAUGGUUGUGGUCCUGUACAGGGAAUAGCUAGGCUGUCCCUGUCUCACACAGUAAACCAGAUAGAUCUUUAUUCCCAAUAUACUGGAUGUAGCGCCCCCAAAUUUUCUGGAAAAUUUCUUGUUUAUCUUUUAGAGUAUAUGUAAUUUUCUCUAAUGGUAAACAUAAAGACAAUUCUUUGAACCAAUGUGAAAUACUUGGUUUGCCAAGACUCCUCCACGUUAGAGCUAUCACUCUCUUUGCUUGUAGUAUUCCCAUGUUUAUGAAGAUUUUUUCAAAAUGAUCUAUGUUACACCCUACAGGAUAUAAUCCCAGUAGGAAAAGUUUGGGAUCCAUCACAAGUUUAAUUGACAAAAUCUCCUUUAUCAUUGCUCCAACCUCUUCCCAAAACUCCUUUAUUUUUGGACAUGACCAUAAACAGUGGAGCAAUGUGCCCUUAUCUUCUUCACAUCUAUUACAGAUAUCAGGAAUCUGCAUAUUAAAUUUGUUAAGUUUUUCUGGUGUUAUGUACACUCUCAUCAACCAAUUAAAUUGUAGCAAUUUUAGACGUGUGUUCCCUGUCUGUGUUUGGGCUAGCUUACAUGCUCUACUCCAUUGUUCCACUGUCAAGUCCUCCUGUAAGUCAUACCUCCAAGCUUCAAGCUUAGCAGCAGAUGAAUCAGGAGAGGAUGUCAUCAUCAAGUUAUAUAAUUCAGAUAUCAUCCCUCUACCACUGGGGUUUUUGGUUAGGAUUUUUUGCACUCGCUUUUAGAGCAUCACACGAAAAUGUUUGCAUUAAUUUGCAUCUUUAAUUGUAAGGAGUGAACCAGAAUCUGUGUUUUUAUUACUAUUAAUGUACAUAUGAUAUGACUAAGCUGCAUAAUUUCAAAUUUAUGCUAUAGGUGUAUCUGCUAGGAGGCUGAGGGGUGGCACUGCAGCCCGUCAGUAUGUUUCAGCAUGAUGACAAUCCCAAACACACUGUCAAUGCAAAAAAAAAAAAAAAGCAUACCUACACAAGAAGACACACAAUGACACUUUCAGUCAUGAAUUUGCCUCCCCAGGGCUCAGACCCUCAACACUAUAGAGGCAGUGUGGGAUCAUGCUGACAGACAACAGAACAAAAGACAGGCAACAUCCAAAGAAGAGCUUUGAAUGACUUUCAAGAACUACUCCUGAAGGCUACUUACAGAAAUUAUCCUAACUCUUGGCUAAGAGAGUUCAGGCUGUGUUGAAGAAUAAAGGGGCAGGGUUAUACAAUUAUUGACUUUCAGGCUCAUUAAAAUUGUACAAACUCUGUUUCUUUUAUAUUUGUACAUUUCAAUAAAUCAGUGCACCAGUUUCCCAUUUUUCUGAGCAAAAGAUGAAGAAAUGAGGGGUGAUUUAAGACUUUUGAACAGUAUUGUAAAUUAACAUUUAGAUUUAGAUUAACUUAAAUCUUAACACUGCGAAGUUAUUAAACUGUUAUGGCUCGUUUUGACAAGCUGGGUCACAUUGAGAUCCCAGCUAUAACCUUGGCCUUGUCACCUGGUUUUCAGCGUUAGGUACAAAAUAGCUUGUGGUUCAUCUCCUUACUGACAGAUCAAAGCACAAGUCAGAGUGUCAGGUGUAUAAAUCUCUUACAUAUACACACACGAUACUGCACAUCCAUGAUCCACUUUCUCUAAAUCUCAGUCAUUGUGAACUGUAUUGUGUGUGUGCACCAACGUGAUUUCCACCCUCAUCUUUAGUCAUGAAUGGAUGUACACACUCCCUUACUUUGUUUGCAUAUAAAUUCACUGUUUGCACCACAAAAAUUGGGAGUGGAAUUUAUAGAAAGGAAAUGACAAAGCGUGAGCGUGUGUGAAAC